rnacentral:rRNA from 1 species
UACGAAGGGUGCAAGCGUUAAUCGGAAUUACUGGGCGUAAAGCGUGCGUAGGCGGUCUUUUAAGUCCGUUGUGAAAGCCUUGGGCUCAACCUGGGAAUGGCAGUGGAUACUGGAAGGCUGGAGUACGGUAGAGGAGGGUGGAAUUCCCGGUGUAGCGGUGAAAUGCGUAGAGAUCGGGAGGAACAUCAGUGGCGAAGGCGGCCCUCUGGACCAGUACUGACGCUGAGGCACGAAAGCGUGGGGAGCAAACAGG